UAAGGAAUAUUGGUCAAUGGGCGCAAGCCUGAACCAGCCAUGCCGCGUGCAGGAAGACGGCCCUAUGGGUUGUAAACUGCUUUUAUCAGGGAAUAAACCUCCGUACGAGUACGGGGCUGAAGGCACCUGAAGAAUAAGCAUCGGCUAACUCUGUGCCAGCAGCCGCGGUAAUAAUCA
rnacentral:rRNA from 1 species